rnacentral:rRNA from 1 species
GAUGAACGCUAGCUACAGGCUUAACACAUGCAAGUCGAGGGGUAACGAGAGGAAAGCUUGCUUUCCUUGUCGACGACCGGCGCACGGGUGAGUAACGCGUAUCCAACCUGCCCCCAACUAGGGAAUAACCUUGCGAAAGUAAGACUAAUACCCUAUAAUUUCCUCAGAUGUCAUCUGACGAGGAAUAAAGAUUUAUCGGUUGUGGAUGGGGAUGCGUCUGAUUAGCUUGUUGGCGGGGUAACGGCCCACCAAGGCAACGAUCAGUAGGGGUUCUGAGCGGAAGGUCCCCCACACUGGAACUGAGACACGGUCCAAACUCCUACGGGAGGCAGCAGUGAGGAAUAUUGGUCAAUGGGCGGAAGCCUGAACCAGCCAAGUAGCGUGCAGGAUGACGGCCCUAUGGGUUGUAAACUGCUUUUAUACAGGAAUAAAGUUAGCCACGUGUGGUUAUUUGUAGGUACUGUAUGAAUAAGGACCGGCUAAUUCCGUGCCAGCAGCCGCAGUAA